GCCAUCGUGGCGCAAUGGUAGCGCAUCACCUUCCUAACUUGAUUGGGAAGUGCCAGGUGGGGGUUGCGGGUUCGAUCCCCGUCGGUGGUA